rnacentral:misc_RNA from 1 species
UAAUAAGCGUUUUAUGGCACUUUUUAAAUCCAUAUCCACCUUGUGUGCAAUGUCAGUCGAUCUUCUUCAUGGAGAUUAGACCAAACAUCAACCUUUAUCUUUUAAGCACUUUGUCUGAAAAAUAUAUGAAUAAACAAUUCAAAUA